GGCUUGAAACAGGCUUUGGCAGCUGUUGUGAUCCCUUGGGCGCAAGGUGCUGCUUGUUGCGAGCCAAGUGAUUUUAAUUUCAGUGUCAUGGGACAAGGGAACGGAUUCCCGUGGGAGAGGAAGGGGAUCUGUUCCAGCAGUGGGAACGUGGAGGAGCCCCUGAGUCUCCGGGAGGGAGGAGUGUCCCCCCAUCCAGAGGUGCCUGGGGAUACAGACCGAAGGAUGCACAGAACAGUCCUGGGCAAGCUGUGUGUACUCCAUCCAGUGUGUGUCCUGGUGGUGGCUGUGCUGGUGGCUCUGGUCCUGGCUCUGGCCGUGGCUGUUGCUGUGCUCUCAGCAAGAACAUGUGGAGGGGAUCCAGCUGUGCCUGUGGCUCCGGUGCUGGCGUGUCCUGAUGGCUGGGUCGGGUACCGCAAUGUCUGCUACUACCUCUCGAGGGACCAGGGGAGCUGGGAGUGGAGCCAGGAGCAGUGCUCCUCGCGUGGGGCCUCGCUGGCCGUGCUGAGGAGGGAGUGGGAAAUGGUGAGUGAGGGGCUGCUGUGGGUGCGUGGGGGUUUGGUGGAGUUCCUGGGUUGGGCACAGAGUGUGGGGUGGGAGCAGAGCUGUGUCAGAGCAGGACCGAGAGCACUGGGUGGGCUGGUGAUCUCCUGCAGCAGCUCUGGAGCUUGUUGGAGCAGGCGUGGGGUGGGAGCUGCUGCCAUCCCAGGGCUGGUGGUAGCCGUGUGGGGGCAGGGAUACCUGUAA
rnacentral:lncRNA from 1 species